rnacentral:lncRNA from 1 species
CCACCUUAGCUUAGUUUUAGCUUAAGUCAGUUUUAUUGUUUGGCCCAUUUGUGUAGUUGAUAAUUAUUUUCAUGUACCCAGCCCAUUUGUUUAUAUAAGAGACUUGUACAGUGAAUCACAAAAGAAGAAAAAGUACCCGAUAUUUCUCUUCUACAAAGGUGUAUAUUCUGCCAUUUUUAAUCUUAUUGUGUUGAUCAUGAAUUCAAUAGUUAACAUGGUAUCAGAGCCCGGAAUUGAUUAAUCCAGUACCGGAGUUUACUUUGUAGUAAGUUUCUAAUCGUUUUUCUUCGAUUAUCAAGUCAUUUCAUGGUGGUAAUCUGUUAUGUCCGACGAGAUAUACUACGACGGUUUUGGUGGUCGUUUGUGGGCGAUUAUGUGGUUGAUUUUCUUCGUUCUUCGAUUCUCUUUAAGCAUUCUGUUUCGUUGAUGACUUGAGAGAAGUUUGGUAAAUUUUCCCCAAUUUUGAAACCCUAAUUUCAAUUUUUAUCAAACAUUUGUUUUUUUGUUGUUGAUAUGGGUUCAAUUAGUGAGGAAAUCCCUAAUGUUGUUGAUAAUUCUGUUGUCGCACCUUCGUCCCCCUUGUAUUUGCUCCCUUCUGAUUCUCCCGACACUGUAUUGGUCACUACGACUUUUGAUGGCACGGGGUAUGGGAGUGGGCGUCGGGGAAUGUUGUUAGGUUUAUCGUGCAAACAUAAGUUGGGAAUGAUUAAUGGUACCGUUACUAACCCGAGUUCCAAUUCUGCACUUUUCGAACCUUGGACUAGGUGCAACGACAUGGUUGUUGCCUGGAUCCUUAAUAGUUUAGAUAGAGAGAUUAGAGAGACUGUGAAGUACACUGAGUCUGCUGAAAAACUUUGGAAGGAAAUUGAGCGUCGGUUUGGCCAAGCUAGUGGGAUAAAGAUUUUUCAAAUCCGCAAGGAGAUUUCUUCAAUUUCUGAGGGUAAUUCUACUGUUGCCUCUUACUUCAAUAGGAUUAAGAAGUUAUAGGAUGAACUUUCUUUCUCCAUUUCACAUCCUGAGUGCAUAUGUGGUUGCAAAGAGGCCUUCCUGAGGUUAGGCGAGGAGCAAAAAGUUCAUCAAUUUCUUAUGGGACUGAACGAGUCUUAUUCUACCAUUAGGAGAAAUAUCCUGAUGAUGAAACCUCUGCCCGAUGUUGAUAGUGUUUAUUCUAUGUUGAUAAAUGAUGAAAGUCAGUCUGGAAUUCAACCUAAUGCUCCUUCUUUCAAUUCUGAUUCUGUGGCCUUCUCUGCUGGGUUUCAAAAGCCUUAUAAUCAGCGGGUCAAUUUUGAUUCUUCCAAGAAAACUAAUUUGGUGUGUCGGUAUUGCAAGAAGCCUGGUCACUCAGUGGACAAGUGUUUCAAGCUACAUGGCUAUCCAACUGGUUUUCAGUCUAGGUUUAAGAGGAGUGCAACUUUUGCUCAAGUUUCAGAUUCUCAGCCCCUAACACAUCCUGAGACUCUUGUUUGUGAGAGCAAACAACUUCAUUCUGAAGGAGGGGUUCGCAGUAUUACCAAGGAGUAGUUUGAUCAGCUUUUGAUUCUUCAUCAACAGUCCAAAGUCUCACCUGAACCUCAUGAAAUUUCUGCUGGAUCUGCCAAUUUUGCAGGUCUUGACUUUGUGAAUUCUGGCUUACUUGCUUGCAAUUUUUCUAGGGUAGAGAAUAGUCCUUGGAUAAUAUAUUCAGGAGCAACUAAUCACAUGACCCCAAACUCUUCCUUUUUGACUAAUAUUAAACGACUCACUGUGCCUUAUCUUGUGAUUUUACCGAAUGGAUAUAAGGUAAAGGUAACUUGCACUGGUACUCUCAUUCUGUCUCCAGAUAUUUCUCUUUUCAAUGUCCUUCUUGUUCCCGCCUUUCAAUAUAAUCUCAUUUCUCUUGCUCAGCUUAUCAUUCAAAUAAAUUGUCUAGCUUAUUUCUCUUCAUCUGUAUGUGUUUUGUAGGGCCCUUCUCUGAAGAAGCCAUUGGUUCUUGGUAGUCUUCAGGAUGGGCUCUAUAUUCUCAAUCCUGCCACUUUUACUGGUUCUUCUACUUCUGCUUUAAGUGCACCCUUUGUAAAUACCAUUACUGCCAAACAUUUACAUGAAAUGAAUAAGAGCAGUAGUUCUAUCUCAAAUGUUGCAUCUUCUGUUUCUAUGCCUGAUGUUACAUCUGAUGUUUCUGUGAAUAAUGUUGUUGUUUCUACAUCCACUCAGGCACAUGCAUUGUCAUUUGACCAUUCUUGGCAUUUAAGACUUGGACACAUGCCUUUUAGUAAAAUAACGACUAUCCCUUUUUUAUCUAAGAAGUUACCCAAAAAGCAAUCUUUUAUGUGUCCUAUGUGUCCUAUGGCUAGACAACAAAGGCUUCCCUUCCCUGAAAGUACUAUGCGUUCCACUUCACCUUUCCAGUUAAUUCACAUAGACCUUUGGGGUCCUUGUCAUACCUCUGCUUACAAUGGGUUUAAAUAUUUUAUGACUAUUGUAGACGAUUUUUCUAGAGCCACUUGGACACAUUUGUUAUCAUCUAAAGGAAGUGCUUUCACUCUGCUUCAAUCAUUCAUUUUCAUGAUACAAACGCAGUUUAAUUCCACUAUCAAGGUGGUAAGGUCUGACAAUGCCUUUGAACUAAGGUCUAGUACUACAGCUUUAGCUUUCUUUUCCACUCAUGGCAUAUUGCACCAAACUUCUUCUCCACAUACACCUCAACAGAAUGGUAUAGUAGAAAGGAAGCACAAACACCUUUUAGAAACUGCUAGAGCACUUCUUUUUCAGUCCAAGUUGCCUCUAAAGUAUUGGGGUGAAUGCAUCUUAACUGCUACCUAUUUGAUAAAUCGAUUCCCUUCUCCUUUAUUGUGAAACAAAACUCCUUUUGAAUUGUUUUAUGGAAUUAUUCCUUCUCUGAACCAACUAAGAGCUUUUGGCUGCCUCUGUUUUGCUGUUGUACCUAAACCAUACAGGGACAAGCUCAAGUCCAGGUCCAUUACUUCUGCUUUCCUUGGGUACACCCCUGGUAAGAAGAGUUACAAAUUAUUGGAUUUGUCCACUUACAAAAUAUUUUAUUCUAGGGAUGUCUUGUUCCAUGAAAAUGUUUUUCCAUACUCCGAUCCUACCUCAUCUCAUUUGUUUUUUCCCCCUGCACCAUCAUUUGAUUCAGUUCACAUCCAUUCUUCUCCUUUUUCUUCUCCUGUUCCCCCUCCUUCUCCUCCUACUUUUUCUCAUGAUUUGUCUGCACUUUCUCCUAUCACAUCUGAUGUCCAUCACUCUUCUUCCUCCUCUGUUCCUGUUCCACCACUUGCCCUCAGAAAGUUCUCUAGAUCUCACAAUCCUCCUCCUUAUCUUGGUGAUUAUGUUUGCAAUUCUGUUUCUAGUUCUAAGGUUCUUUCCUUGUUCUCUGAUAAUUGCUUGCAAGAGCCUCUGUUUUAUCAUCAAGCUGCUUCUCAUCCUUCUUGGCAAGAAGCUAUGAUGCAAGAGUUUCAGGCCUUGGAAGCUAACCACACCUGGGAUAUUCUUCCCCCACAUGCUGGUAAGAAGGCCAUUCCUUGUAAGUGGGUCUACAAGAUGAAACAAAGGGCCGAUGGGUCAAUUGAGAGGUACAAAGCAAGGUUAGUAAUUAGGGGUGACAACCAACAAGAGGGGGUGGAUUCCACUGAGACUUCUCCCCUGUAGUCAAGUUGACCACCGUCAAGUGUCUUUUGUUUAUAGCUACUAAAGGAAAUUGGAAAGUAUACCAACUUGAUGUCAAUAAUGCAUUUCUACAUGGGAAUUUGGACGAAGAGGUUUUUAUGAAGAUCCCUCCAGGGUUGUCUGUUUCAGCAUCUACUUCUGUACCUUCUUCCUUUUUGGCUUGCAAACUGAACAAGUCUCUAUAUGGUCUUAGACAGGCCUCUAGGCAGUGGUAUGCCAAACUCUCUUCUACUCUUCAGUCUUAAGGUUUCCAGCCUAGUAUCAAUGAUUACUCUUUGUUUAGAAAGGCUUCAGGUUCUAGUCUCACUUUAGUUGCUAUCUAUGUUGAUGAUAUUCUGUUGGCUGGUGAUGGCAUUUCUGAAAUCCAUGCCCUUAAACAGUUUUUGGAUGACCAAUUCAAAAUCAAAGAUCUUUGUGAGAUUCAUUACUUUCUUGGGCUUGAAGUUGUCAAGCAGCCCCAAGGGUUCUUGGUUAGCCAACACAAAUUCACUAUGGAUUUGCUCUCUAAAUUUGAGUGUUCUUCAGUGACUCCAGUGGUGGCUCCAUUAGACCCUCAUGUUAAGUUGUCAGCUGAUAUAGGAGAGUUACUCCCUGAUCCAUCUGUGUAUUGAAAAUUAGUGGGGAGAUUGAACAUUUUGCAGCAUAACAGACCAGAUCUUUCUUAUACCGUGCAACACCUAAGUCAGUAUAUGUCUGUUCCUAGGAUUCCUCAUUUGACAGCUGCUUAUCAUGUCUUGAGGUACCUGGCUGGUUCCUCUGAUUUAGGUGUUCUUCUUUCCAACUCUCCUGACUUCUCUUUGCACGGCUAUUGUGAUUCUGAUUGGGCUAAUUGUGCUGAUAGCAAGAGAUCCGUUUCUGGUUUUGUGUUGUUUUUGGGUGGCUGUCCCAUUUCAUGGAAGUCUAAAAAGCAGCCCACUCUUGCCUUGUCCUCUGUUGAGGCAGAGUAUAGGGCUCUUAGGCUUCUGGUUGCUGAGAUAACUUAGUUAGUCCGACUGUUGGCUGACUUUGAGGUGGUUGAUCUUCGUCCGAUUGCAGUCUAUUGUGAUAAUCAAGCAGCCAUCCACAUAGCCAAAAAUCCCGUUUUUCAUGAAAGAACCAAGCAUGUUGAGGUGGAUUGCCAUUUUCUUCGAAAUGCCUUGGCUGAUGGUUUGAUUUAUUUGCAUUCUAUUUCCACUUCUGCUCAGAUUGCUGAUAUGUUUACUAAAUCCUUGCUUGGCAUGCAGCAGUAGGCUUUUAUUCCCAAGCUUGGAAUGGCAAGCCUUUCCAGCUUGCGGGGGGUGUUGGAGUGGAAGUCAAGUGGGCCAAGCCACCUUAGCUUAGUUUUAGCUUAAGUCAGUUUUAUUGUUGGGCCCAUUCGUGUAGCUGAUAACUAUUUUCAUGUACCUAACCCAUUUGUUUAUAUAAGAGACUUGUACAGUGAAUCACAAAAGAAGAAAAAGUACCCGAUAUUUCUCUUCUACAAAGGUAUAUAUUUUGCUAUUUUCAAUCUUAUGAUGUUGAUCAUGAAUUCAAUAGUUAACAUAACAAGGUGAAAAAAUUGAAGCAAAAACUACAAAACAUCUCUCAAGAUU